CCUACGGGUGGCAGCAGUGGGGAAUAUUGGACAAUGGGGGUAACCCUGAUCCAGCCAUGCCGCGUGUGUGAAGAAGGCCCUCGGGUUGUAAAGCACUUUCAGUGAGGAAGAACGCCUGGUGGUUAAUACCCAUCAGGAAAGACAUCACUCACAGAAGAAGCACCGGCUAACUCCGUGCCAGCAGCCGCGGUAAUACGGAGGGUGCGAGCGUUAAUCGGAAUUACUGGGCGUAAAGCGCGCGUAGGUGGCUUGAUAAGCCGGUUGUGAAAGCCCCGGGCUCAACCUGGGAACGGCAUCCGGAACUGUCAAGCUAGAGUGCAGGAGAGGAAGGUAGAAUUCCCGGUGUAGCGGUGAAAUGCGUAGAGAUCGGGAGGAAUACCAGUGGCGAAGGCGGCCUUCUGGACUGACACUGACACUGAGGUGCGAAAGCGUGGGUAGCAAACAGGAUUAGAUACCCGAGUAGUC
rnacentral:rRNA from 1 species